UAUAUAUUCAUUUAGGAGAAAUUUUCAUAAAAAAAUUAUUUUAUAUUAUUUAUAUAUUUUUUAGUAUUUUUUAAAAAUAAUAAUUAUUUUUAUACACUGUAAAGGGUUAAUGUGUUGUAUAAUAUUUAUUGUUUUUUUUACUUAUUACCUUUUGUAUCAGGGCGGGUUCAUUAGUUUAACUAGCUUUUAUUUCCCGAAUCAGAAAUGUCAAGGAUUUUUUAAUUAUUUAUUUGUUUCAUUAAGUUUUAUAAUAAAGUUCUAGUAAAUAUAUUUUAUUCGUUUUUUGUAUAUCUGGUUGUUAGGGAUUAAAUUUAAUUUAGUACUUAUUUAAUUAGUUAUUCAGUGUAAAUAUUUAUUAAGUAUAAUUCUAUUAGGGAUAAUCUUAAUAGUUUAUUACAAUUAAAAUUUUUUUUAUAGAUUUAUUUUCUUUAAAAUUUUGUAUUUAGUUUUUAUUAAAUUAUUUUAUAGUUAUAUAAUUUUUUUAYGUUUAAUUUUUUACUUAACCAUUUCUAUUAAUUUUUAUUAAUUAGUGAUUUUGAUUCAAUUAGUAUAAUUUUGAAUUGUUAUUUUAUGAAUUCGACAAUUUUUAUUUCCAACUGUUUAACAAAAACAUUUCCUUUUGAUUAUUUAAAAGGUAAUUUCUGCCCUAUGGGAUAUUUAACUAAAUGGCUGCAGUAUAUUGACUGUGCAAAGGUAGCAUAGUAAUUAGUUUCUUAAUUAGAAGCUUGUAUGAAUGGAUAUAUGAGAAAUAUAUUUUAUUAGUUUCAUUAUUAAAAUUUAAACUUUAAGUUAAAAUGCUUAUAUAAUUUUCUGGGACGAUAAGACCCUAUAGAACUUUACAUUGAAAUGUAUAUAUGUAUUGUUGUAUAAAUAUUUAUAUAUAUUUUUUUAUGUUUUGCUGGGGUGGUAAAUAAAUUUAAACUUUUUUAAAAAAAUUCAUUAUUUGUGUACAUUAUGGUCUUCUUUUUGAAAUUAAAAGAUUUAGUUACCUUAGGGAUAACAGCGUAAUUUUAAUGGGAAGUUCAUAUUUAUAUUAAGUUUUGCGACCUCGAUGUUGAAUUAAGAAUAGUCUUGGAAGCAGGUUUCUAUAGACUGAGUCUGUUCGACUUUUAAAUUCUUACAUGAUUUGAGUUCAAACCGGUGUGAGCCAGGUUGGUUUCUAUCUGGAAAUUAAAAAAGUUUAAUUAGUACGAAAGGACCAUUAAAUUGCACAUUUGUGUUAAUUUUUUAAU
rnacentral:rRNA from 1 species